AAUUAUUCGUGUCGGACGCUACAAAAUUGCGCUUCUGAAAUUUUAGUCCUUUAGUUGGCUCUGGUUUUCACCAACUUCGCUGAUUGCGGCGGCCGGCGGUUGUUUAUGGCUUGAGCUGAAACUUUACGAUUUUUUUUUCCGAAGGGAUUCUUGCCUCGGCCUGGUCUUCGUGGAAAAUCAGAUUUGUUUGAAGCUAUUCUCGGUCAGUAAUUCAAGGAAGAUAAUUUGACUUCAUCCGUCUGGUGAGAGCGGAAAAAUUUUCGAGGUGUUAUCUGCUGGGAGUCGACUGACCUCUCAAUGAGUCGGUAUUGUUCCCAACAGUGCUCUCUGGCGGAGUUUUGUCUAUCCACUCUGAUGAAUGCCCGACUUACCUAGCCCAAGUGGUAGCAUAAUUGCACAUAAAUUCUUACAUUUGCUUGGUGAGAUGGAUUGUAGGCAGGAUAACGGUUUUUCACAUGUGGUUUCCUGGUGUAAAAAAAUCACGGGUGCAAAAUACCGGAAAAAGAUUUAUCCGGCACUUAAACCAAAGACUGAGUAUCUGUUUGAUCUACGAGAUUCGGUGAAGGAAGAAAUGAUCAAAGAAUUAAUGGUUGGGACAAAGCGAACAAAAGAAUUUCGAGAAUGGCUGAUCAAGGUGAGCGAGUUUGAAAUUAAUGCAAGAGAAUUACUGCAGUUUCAUGAGAAGACUUCGGAUAACUUGAGGUUUUCCAAGAAACGACCACAUGCUGAUUUGAUGAAUGUGCUUGAUGAAAUCACCCGUCUCUUGGAGAGUUCUCCGUUGCAAAGGGCAACUAGAACAAGGAGUUCUUCAAUGAUUGAGGGCAAGAGCUUUGGACUUGCUGAAAGAACUUCAAAUGCUUACUUGAGGAGCAAAACUGAAGAUCCCCUUGACAAGUAUCUAGAAGAUGGAAGAUCUUGUGCUACGGGGAAGGAAGUUGAAAGGGAUAAAGAGAUACCACUUAUUAAAUAUGGUAGGAAGUUGCGAUUACAAAGAAAAGUUGAGGGAGAUCAGAAGCCAAGAAUAAGGACCAGAAAAAGAGGAUCAUCUCAGGCGGAGACCAAAGAUGGAUCAACUACAACAGUUGGAUCAAUGAUUGACAUGGAAGCUCCUUUAUCUGGUAAUUCAGGUGCUUUUUGGUCGGAAUCUUCAUUGAUUACAAGCUCUUCAUUGCCAUCGGAUAGUGUAGACCUCAAGACAAAGUCUGAGGAGGUAUCAUCUUCACUAACCAACAUCUUACCAACUGCUGGACACGAGAUUGAACUUAUUUCUUUUGAAGAAGAAGAAGAAGAAGAAGAAGAAAUGAAACCAUCUCUGCGACCUGAAAUUUUUAAGGCCGUGCUUAAUGAAAUUGAAGAAAUUUCCUCCAGUCAUGAAACAGAAUCUGAGACUAGUUUACCAGCAGCAAGUCAAAUUCCUGAAUCACUAAAAACUGUCAACCAAUCAGUUGAACCUCCUAUUGAAGUGGGAGCAUUCAUCUCUCCCCAAAGAGAGAUAAUCUCGGUAGAUACGCUUUCAGUAGCAUCUUCGGAAGAGGAAAUUCUACUUACUGAUGAAGUGGAGACUAAGGGUCCUAGUCAAACUGACGCCAAGACAAAUGUUGAGCACACUGUGUUGAAGAUUUUGGAAUGUUUGAGCAAUGAUACAGUCAGAAGAAUUGGUGUUUAUGGCAUUGAAAGGGUUGGGAAGACGACUGUGCUGAAAGCCUUUAUUGCUCAUCCCCAGAUAAAGGACAUGUUUGAUUUGAUCAUUUGGGUGACAGUAUCAAAAUACUGGAGUAUAAGGAACAUGCAGGAUGAAGUUUUAAGGCAAUUAUCAACAGAUUUCAAGUCUGAAUCUGAAAAUAGAGAAGAAUUGUUCCGAUCUUUGGAAGGCAGGAAGUUUUUGCUUGUUCUGGAUGAUGUCUGGGAGAGUAUAGAUUUAGAAGCAGUCGGUAUUCCUGAUCGUAGCUCGGAAAAUGGCAGUGCGAUAAUACUGGCAACUAGGAAUUUGGAGGUUUGUGAUAACAUGCGUUUCAUAAAUAUGAUCGAAGUUGGAACUCUUUCUAAUGAAGAAGCAUGGAAGCUGUUCUGUGAACAAGUAGGUAGAGUUGUCAACAUACCAGGUAUCCUGCCCUUUGCUCGGGUUAUCGUUGAGAGGUGUGGUGGUCUGCCUCUGCUGGUUAUUGUCACUGGAAGAGCUCUGUCAGGGGAAGAAGAUGUCUUUGCAUGGGAGCAAGCAUUCAAGCAAUUUUCAGGGCCUUGUGGAGAUCUAAGAAACCGAAAUGACGUAAUCCAAUUGUUAAAAUUCAGUUUUGACCGAUUGGAGGUUCAUGACAUUCAGAGUUGCUUCCUUCAUUGUGCUUUUUUUCCUGAAGAUCAAGAGGUUAAUAUUUCUGAAUUUGUUACAUAUUGUAUCGAAGAAGGUUUGAUUGCCGGGAAUACGGCUGAUGCAUAUAAGAGGGGCCAUGAGAUAAUUACUGUUCUCGUACAUGCCUUUUUGUUAGAAACUACUUCCAGUUCUUCCAUCAUAAUGCAUGAUAUGAUGAGAGACUUGGCACUGGCCAUUUUGUUGCAGGAAAAAGGCAGCCAAUUUCUGUUGAGAGCUUACUCAAAACCGGUGAGCCAAGAAAAUCAUUCAUCGCUUAUACUACGUGAAAGCCCCGAGAACAAUAGAUUGUUUAUUCCCGAUGGUUGUCAAUUCAUAUUGAGAGCCGGUUCAAGACUGACCCAACCACCUUCAGUAGAAGAAUGGGGAAAGUCUAGUAUGAUCUUUUUGAUGGACAAUAAUUUGUCCGCUUUACCUGAGAGCCCAAGGUGCCCUGGACUUUUGACACUGUUUCUUCAAAGAAAUUUCAGGCUCAGAGUGAUACCCGUGUCCUUUUUCGACUGCAUGCCUUGUUUGAAAGUGCUAAACUUGUCAAAUACCCGAAUAAAGUCUCUGCCAAGAACAAUUUCAAAACUUGUAAGCCUGGAAACUCUCAUCCUUCGUCAUUGUGAACGCCUUUCUAUGCUUCCCUCUGAUAUUGGAUCCCUCAAACUUCUUCAAGUACUUGAUCUUAGAGGCACUGAGAUCAACUUAUUACCUGAUGAGAUCCGUGAACUAUCCUCUUUGACAUACUUUGAUAUAUGCUUCUAUGGAUCUAUCAACCGAAGUGAGCAUCUUAAAUUGCCACAAGGCUUGAUUUCUAGUGGGAUAAUAUCGAGGCUCAGUACAUUGCAAUCACUCGGGAUUAGGGUGUGCCCAGGAGAUGAGCGGUGGGACAAAUGUGUCAAAUCCAUCAUUUACGAGGUAAGUAAAUUGACGGGGCUAACUUCUCUGUCUUUUUAUUUUCCGGAAGUAGAGCUUCUUGAACUGUUCCUCCAAAAAAGUGCAGCCUGGAUUGAUCAAUGCUUAACCGAGUAUAAUUUUGUGGUUGGCCGUGACAUCAAGCGUAUUGUCUCUCGAGUUCCACAAUACGUGGAGCUUGAUUAUGAUCAAACAAGCCAACGCUUGAGAUUUGUUAACGGUGAGAAGAUACCUGAUGCAAUCGUCAAAGUACUAGCAUAUUGCUCAGCUUUUUAUUUAGAUCAUCACCUGGACGUAAUCAGCAUAUCGAAGUUCGGGAUUGCCAACAUGAAUAAGUUGAAACACUGCAUAGUAAGUGAGUGUCCCACAGUUAAAGCUGUUUUGGACGAUAAGGAAUUUACCGAGGUUGUAUUUCCAUGCCUAGAGCACUUGAAUCUUCACUAUUUGUGGAAUUUGGAAUACAUCUGCAACGACCUUCUUCCUGAAGGAAGCUUCACUAUGCUACGGAUCUUGUAUGUGCACGCAUGUCCAAAGUUGAAGUACGUCUUGAAAAGCUCCAUGCUUCGAUUCUUCUUGAACCUAGAGGAGUUGAUAGUCGAUGAUUGUACAGCAAUCGAGAAGAUCAUACUUGACGAUGAUAUGACCACUGAAUUGAGUCACAUGUCGGAUUCCAGUUUCAAAAGACUAACUCUUCACUACCUUCCCGCAUUAGUAACCAUUCGAGAAGGUGUUUGGCCCUCGUUCGAAUAUAUCAGUGUAUGCAACUGCCCUAAUUUCAAGAAAAUCAAUUUAGAUUCCAAGUCGAAACACACACUGAAGGGGAUUAAAGGUGAGAAGGAUUGGUGGGAUUCAUUAGAAUGGAAAGAACCUUCUCUAAGCAUACAUUUCAACGACUUGUUUACUCUAGUUUCUGAGGAUGAUAUAUGAGGAGAUAGUAUCAAUUGAUGCUAUUUUCAUCGCUUGAGUCAACGAUGUGUAAGAAUAAAAAAAUUUUACCUGCAGAAAAUAAAUCAAGGCUGAAGAGGUCACUCCUUGGGGAGCUUUGAAAUUCCUUGCUGCACAGAGUUUCCGGCAGCAAAUCAGCUCUUCACACUGGCAAACAAAGAGAAAGGCGGAAAUAGCAGUCCAUUGACAACCAGUGCUAUUGGUAUAGCGAAUGCAAACAAUUAGAGGUAGCCUUUUCUGGAACAAUUGCCGAAAAACAGAACUACCAUUGUAGAUAAAACUAUUGCUUCCUUCCCAAUUCCCUCAUGGGUUGCCCGUAAUGUGUUAGAGGAAGUAGACAAACAACCAUGGCAGCAUCACUAACAACACUUGCAUCCGUUGACAGUCGAUUUAUCGGAAUUCCGGAAAGGUAUGGGUCAAGAACUAAUAUUUUUUGUUCUCGAUACAUCUAGACAUGUCGAAGCCCUGAAUUGAGGGUUUAAAGACCGUGUUAUAUUUGGAACUUUCUCUGAUUAUUUUGCCUUCCAUGUAUAUAAUUUGUUGUCAUUUUGAAUUAACUUAAUACAAGGAACAUGUUUUUGUCCAA